UACGUAGGAUGCAAGCGUUGUCCGGAUUUACUGGGCGUAAAGCGCGCGCAGGCGGCUCUUUAAGUAUGGCGUGAAAUCUCCCUGCUCAACGGGGAGGGUGCGUUGUAGACUGAGGAGCUUGAGGUCGGUAGAGGGGGGUGGAAUUGCUGGUGUAGCGGUGGAAUGCGCAGAUAUCAGGAGGAACACCAAUAGCGAAGGCAGCUCGCUGGGACGUUACUGACGCUGAGGAGCGAAAGCAUGGGGAGCGAACAGG
rnacentral:rRNA from 1 species